rnacentral:tRNA from 1 species
GGGGUUGUGGCUCAGUGGUAGAGCACUUGCCUAGCAUUCAUGAGGCACUGGUUUAAUUCCCAUCACCA